GACGAACGCUGGCGGCGUGCUUAACACAUGCAAGUCGAACGGUAAGGCCCUGCGGGUUUGGUGUGUUGGAGACGCGAACGUGAGACGAACACAAGAGUAACCUGCCCCUGAGUCUGCGACAACAUAAGGUAACUAGUACCAAUACCGGACAGGAGCUCCAGCUGCAUGGGGGGGGAUGGAAAUUUUCGGCGGUUGGGGAUGGACUCGCGGCUUAUCAGCUUGUUGGUGGGGUUGAGGCUUACCAAGGCGGUGACGGGUAGCCGGCCUGAGAGGGUGACCGGCCACACUGGGACUGAGACACGGCCCAGACUCCUACGGGAGGCAGCAGUGGGGAAUAUUGCACAAUGGGCGGAAGCCUGAUGCAGCGACGCCGCGUGAGGGAUGACGGCCUUCGGGUUGUAAACCGCUUUCAGCUCUGAAGAAGCGAAAGUGACGGUAGUGGGAGAAGAAGCACCGGCUAACUACGUG
rnacentral:rRNA from 1 species